GAUUAACCCAACUGUUCUUUUUCGACUUGUUUUUUCUCCAAUAGGUUUUGGAGGCUGACUCGUUUGCGGAAGAUAAGUCAAAAACGAACAGAAAGCCUCCCUCUAGGGAGGUUUUUUUAUU
rfam:Vibrio panuliri strain CAIM 703 CAIM703_8, whole genome shotgun sequence.